UAUUCUCUGAAUAAUAGAUAAUAUGUUAAUCAAAACUGGAACACAAAAGCACAAGUGUAUCAGAAACUCUUAAAUGUAAUGAGUUUAAAACAUACAUUGUUCUACUUCUUCAACUUUGGAUCAAAACAAGAGCCAAAGCAACUCAAGAACCUUCACAUCUUUGCCUUCCUCAUAUAAAACAGGAACUUGCAUAAGGAAAGGAAAAGAAAAUUAAAUUGUUUGCCCCACUUCAAAAUCAGGCAAUAACAUAAAAGCACUUUAUAUGAUUCUUAUUAUGUGCCAGACACUGUUCUAAGAGCUUUAUACAUGCUAGCUCUCUUGUUCCUCACAGCAACCCAAACAGGAAGUGUUGUCAUUGGCUCUGUUUUACAUAUGGGAAAACUGAGGCACAGAGGUUAAGGGACUUGCUCAAAUCAUACAAGCCAGUAAGCAAUGUGACUGGGACUCGGCCAGGCUGGUGGGCUCCACUGCCUGCUCAUAACACUACCCGAUAACUGCUCCUGAAGUUGCUAAAUGUCAAAAACGAUUUUUUGACAUCCCAUCUAAUCUGGGGACCUUAUGAACAUCUGUAAAAAACAGUUCCCGUAUACUUUUAGGACCCAACAUUUUCCCACUUUAGCCAAUGCUGAAAGCAAUUACUUUUGAAAGCAAAUUAGAGAAAGAUCUAGUAAGCACUAUAGGUAUUUUCCAACAUAAGAACAUGAGUCAAUCCUCAGGAAAUAACAGAACCUGCCACCCUCUCCCCGUUCUGCACCCAGUUUUAAGAGUCUCAUCUAAAGGCUGAAAGGUGCUGUAGGAAUCUCACUGGUCAGAACUCAGUGAUCUAUUAUUCAACGAUAUUUACUGAGCACCUAAAAUAUGCCAGGCUUUAGCCUCUAAAGAAAGGUACAAUGGUGAGCAAAAUGGAUACAGUCCUUACACUCAUGGAGCUUACAUGGCACUCAAAAACACAAGAAUAAAUGUAAAAUUUCAACGUUACAAGAGCUGCAGAGAAGAGCAAAUAUAGGAAAGCCUAUAAUAGGGGAUUUGAUCCAACGGAUGAACAGAAGGCUUCCCCAGGUAAGUGAUGACGGAAUGGAGAGCUGAAGAACAGGAACUAACCAGAUGAGUGGCGAUGGGGAAUGGAUGGAAAGAACGCUCAGUGUGUAAGAAACAGCAAUGUGCAGUUUCUGUAUUGUAAGGAAGCAGGGAGAAUUCAAGUAAUGAAGGAAGGUUAGUGUGGCUAGAACCCACAGAAGGAGAGGGAAAGGGACAGGCCAUGCUGGGCCUUGCUGGCCAUGUUAAAGAUUUUGAUCUUUAUACUAGAAGUAGUGUGAAGUCAUUAAAGGCUUUCAGUAGGGAUGUUCACGUGUAUCUGUGUGUGACACAGAGAUUCUAGUUUUGAAAAGAUCACUCUGACUGUGGUGUAAAGUCUGACUUGAGUCAUAACUGGAAAUGUGGGAACAAUUUAGCAGACUGUUGUCCGGGGAGGGGUGAUGGUAACACAGAUCAGGGAUGGCAGAGAUGAUUCAGAGAAGAUGGAUUCCAGAGAUGGAUGAAGAAGGUUAAGUUACAGGAUUUGGAAAAGAAUCAGAUGCAUGGUCAAGGAAAGGGAGCUGUUGCCUGCCUUGUGCUACAUGAUGGAGAGUGGUGCUAGUCAUUGCCAUGCAGAACAUUUGGUCAUCAAAUGUUUUGAGUGUUUUCUGAAUGCUUUGCCAGGCACCAUGCUGGAGAUGCUGGUGGAUGGCCGGGUUUCCAGGAAAUGACUGUGUGGAAUAUAAGAUGCAUGUAAGACAUCCAAGUAGAGACUUCUCUUCCUGGGAGCCCCACAAGACUAGAAUGAGUGUAAGCUCCAUGAAGGAGGGGGCUUUUGUCUUUUGUUUAUUGCUAAGUGUCUGCAGCUCCUAAAGUUUGGGCACCUAGUACGAUUUAUUGGUUGUAUAAAAAAAUGAGUCUCUUUUAUCUCUUACCUCUGCCAGGCCCCUCUUAUGCUCACGCGGCCCAAGGGAAAAGGUAGUCUUCAUUAGAUCUAAAGCUUCCCAAACCUGUCAUAAGGAGGGCUCCCCAUGUGUAGGUAGUGAUGAUUCUGAUGGUGGUGGUAAUGUGUUGCAAGGAUCUCUGCUAAGAAUUAAGAACCUUAGUGGUCCAAAGUAUAGAAACUAAAGUAAAAUGUUAACCUAGCUUUCGGUAUUCCAAAUCGGCUGUUUGACACUCCUGAUACAUUUCUCCCCCAAAAUCAAAGGACCUUUUGGGACACGCCGCUGCUUAAAUCAAACUGUUCCUAUAUUUUUAAAAGGUGAAGUGUCAGUGUGAGUGCAAGACACCGGAACAGCGGUCGUGGGGUUCUUAAGCCACAGCCAUCUAGUGGGUCUAGCGAGGUCUGCACCACCCUCGG